GUUACUUUAACAACCAGGAGGUUGGCUUAGAAGCAGCCAUCCUUUAAAGAAAGCGUAAUAGCUCACUGGUCUAGUGAUUUUGCGCGGAAAAUAUAACGGGGCUAAAAUAAGUACCGAAGCUGUAGACCCAAGCCUAGCUUGGGUGGUAGGAGAGCGUUCUAUAGGCGUUGAAGAUGUACCGGUAAGGAGCGUUGGAGCGUAUAGAAGUGAGCAUGCAGGCAUGAGUAGCGAUAAUUAAUG
rnacentral:rRNA from 1 species